rnacentral:rRNA from 1 species
UGGGGAAUCUUGCGCAAUGGGCGAAAGCCUGACGCAGCGACGCCGCGUGAGGGAGGAAGGCCUUCGGGUUGUAAACCUCUUUCAGGAGGGACGAAGCUACUCGGGUUAAUAGCCCAGAGGGUGACGGUACCUCCAGAAGAAGCCCCGGCUAACUACGUGCCAGCAGCCGCGGUAAUACGUAGGGGGCAAGCGUUGUCCGGAUUUACUGGGCGUAAAGAGCGUGUAGGCGGCCACGCAGGUCCGUUGUGAAAACUGGAGGCUUAACCUCCAGACGUCGACGGAAACCGUGUGGCUAGAGUCCGGAAGAGGAGAGUGGAAUUCCUGGUGUAGCGGUGAAAUGCGCAGAUAUCAGGAAGAACACCAAUGGCGAAGGCAGCUCUCUGGGACGGUACUGACGCUGAGACGCGAAAGCGUGGGGAGCGAACAGGAUUAGAUACCCUGGUAGUCCACGCCGUAAACGAUGGGUGCUAGGUGUGGGAGGUGUCGACUCCUUCCGUGCCGU